GAUGAACGCUGGCGGCGUGCCUAAUACAUGCCAGUCGAGCGAACAGACGAGGAGCUUGCUCCUCUGACGUUAGCGGCGGACGGGUGAGAAACACGUGGAUAACCUACCUAUAAGACUGGGAUAACUUCGGGAAACCGGAGCUAAUACCGGAUAAUAUAUUGAACCGCAUGGUUCAAUAGUGAAAGACGGUUUUGCUGUCACUUAUAGAUGGAUCCGCGCCGCAUUAGCUAGUUGGUAAGGUAACGGCUUACCAAGGCAACGAUGCGUAGCCGACCUGAGAGGGUGAUCGGCCACACUGGAACUGAGACACGGUCCAGACUCCUACGGGAGGCAGCAGUAGGGAAUCUUCCGCAAUGGGCGAAAGCCUGACGGAGCAACGCCGCGUGAAUGAUGAAGGUCUUCGGAUCGUAAAACUCUGUUAUUAGGGAAGAACAAAUGUGUAAGUAACUAUGCACGUCUUGACGGUACCUAAUCAGAAAGCCACGGCUAACUACGUG
rnacentral:rRNA from 1 species